UACGUAGGGUGCGAGCGUUGUCCGGAAUUAUUGGGCGUAAAGAGCUCGUAGGCGGUCUGUCGCGUCUGCUGUGAAAUCCCGAGGCUCAACCUCGGGCCUGCAGUGGGUACGGGCAGACUAGAGUGCGGUAGGGGAGAUUGGAAUUCCUGGUGUAGCGGUGGAAUGCGCAGAUAUCAGGAGGAGCACCGAUGGCGAAGGCAGAUCUCUGGGCCGUAACUGACGCUGAGGAGCGAAAGCGUGGGGAGCGAACAGG
rnacentral:rRNA from 1 species